UCCAGCCUAAUCUCCUGCCACUCUCAAGCACUCCCCGUGCAGCAGGCCUGAUGUGUAGGCUGCCAUGGCAAGGCUACAUCCAUGCAUUCGGUAGAAGCCGAAGCUGUUUUACUUUAAUCUGAUGAAGUCCGUGCUGCUAUAAGCUAGGAAAUCGAAAAAUUCAACAUUGGCAAGCUGGUCUUGUGCUCUUUGUCUAAAAGCAUAUUCUGAAAGCGAGGUUCUUAUUGUGGAUGUUUCAGCGUCAACCUGAAUUUUCUUUAACCUACUACAGAAAGACCUUCUAGGGUGAUUAGCUGCAGUACUGUGACAAAUAAUCAAAAAAGAUCAUUGUCUUCUCAUUUAAUAUUCUAGCUGCCGGCCAAACAUUGAAGAGAGCGGGAUGAAGAGGAAGAGAGGCGAGCCUGAGCUGGAGUACGGGGCCUCGUCCGGGGUG